AGACCCUGGAAAGUUGGGUUUGUUUUCUCGAAUGUGGGAGCAGCGACCAGGCUUUGGGGCCAGGCUACGACAGCAGGCCUCCCGCGGGUGCAGCCCAGUUGGUCAAGGAUGGUUGUCCCAUUUGUAGCGCUAGUUCCAAGGCACUCUGGCGAGCAGCGGAGGUGCAAACACGAAAAAAAUCAAACCCAAAUGUUGACAUGUGUGGCUAGUCCCAGCCUGAGAAAGAGAGAAGGAUACCGUGGGGUAUCAUGGGUACUGGCUUUCCAGAAAUUUUAUAGGACAUCUUUGAGGUCCACUUUAAACUGGCAGCAAGAUGGACGACUGCAGAGGGUUAAGGCUGCCAUCAGUGAGGAGGGGCUGGCAGAGCUGUCUCCCCAGCAGCGGUAUCCAGUUCAGCCCGGAGCCUACCUGAUGGUGUCUUGGGAAGGUGAGCCCAUUCCAACGCCGCCUCUGAGAGGAAUUGUGUUCACCUCAACGAAAGUACAACUUCACGUCAGAAGGUGCACCCUGCGUGACAGAACCCAGGAGAUAAGGGGAUGGCGUCACACGAUACAAAGGUUUCCAAAGGUCUCACCGGAGGACAGCAGCCACCGAAGCUGUGCGCACGCGCACACAUCCACAAGCAAGAUUCUCGAGUGUCACUGUUACUUGUGUGCACAAGCUCAUGACACCUACCCAUAUGACAGCUUCUCCUUCGACUCGGAGAGACUGCGGCUGCGUUUUAAACUCACCCUGCUCUCCGGAGGGUGCCUCUCAACUGUUGCAGGCUUGAACUCGGGAAGAACAAAAGCAGAGGCCCUCAGCCCCCCUAAGAGGGACAGCUUCAGCGCCAGGCUUCCCCGAGCCACCGCACCUGCACGGGUCUCCUCCACAACCAGCCUCUGAGUUUGACUGACUCAGUGUCAGUGCCCAUGAUGAAAACGAUGUCCAAGGAAGAAGUUUGCAACGUAACAUGAGGGCCGAAGAAAAGAAAGAAUGAAAAUAAGGACAACUUGCAAAUACUCAAAAGCCCAUCUAGGAUAAAACAAAACUGCUUCUCAGUACUUUGGUUUCAACCACUUGCUCUAACCCUCGCUUUAGCGAACACCUGGGGUGGAAGGGGUGAGGUACCAUAGCGGACAACUGCUCUGAACAGCCGGAAGGUAACAAUGCAGCUUGUAAUAAACAGGAUGCCGGGGGGCCAAGCACAGGGCACGGGGCAGGACCAGGUUUUCCAGUUUGGGCAAAACAUGGCUAGAAACUGAUGAUGUUCGAAAAGACAUGACAUUUUUCCUAUCUAAAGGAGGACUGCCUACCUAAAGGAAGAAAUACAGCGAAACACCAACACCUAAUCCAAAUACCAGCCUUUUCCAACUGGGUUCUAGGAGAGUUCAGACCCGAACAAAAUCACUGAAUGACUCUCCUCAAUUCUGCAAAGGACAUUACACAGUUAGCACCAUUCUAGGUGCGCAGGACACGUUAACUCAUUAUAUGAGGAUGGAUUCCUUAAAGUGCUAGGGCUUAAUAGAGAAGAAUUGAUGGAGAAGGGCUGUCCAAAUCCCAAAACAGUACUUAGGUGGAAGUAAACCUAGAGGGUGGGAAAAAACCACCCAACCCUAUACAUGUAGGCUAGGCCUUGCUAUGGUCAAGCUCCGAGUUGCCAUCUUGGGGACCGCAGACUGUAACACCCACUAGGUAGCUCCCAGUCCACCACAUGAAUGGGUCACAUGGGCAUGAGCCACAUAUUUAUUCUCUUGUCUCUCCCUUUUCCAACUUGGGUCCAAGAGAACCCUAAGAUAGAACUCUUAUAUUUGGUGGUGGUUUAAAAAAAAAUAGAACAGCUGAAAGACCCUAAAUAUAAUUAUUCAACAGCAGCAGCGGGGA